UAAAACCCAUAGAGUACAACAGCCUAUCUACUAUAUAUUCUGUGCAUGUUACAAAAGUAAACAUUUAAACAAAAGCCACUUGUUGUAGGAGGACAUUACCAGAGUUAUUUCCGUACAAAAGUGACUUCUGUGUGUGAUGUGGCAGAGGUGAUUUUGCAUAAAGAAAAACAUCAACAAUGUAGACAGCUGCACCAGUUACAGCAGUGCCAACUCCAGAGCUGUCUGACAGAAUGUUCCUGAUAUCCAUAACCAUAAGUCUUUCUUCUGUGAAUUAGCAAGCUACCACCAGAAGCCAAAAAUCAUAAAAGACCCGUGUACUCUC